UACGUAGGGUGCAAGCGUUGUCCGGAAUUAUUGGGCGUAAAGAGCUCGUAGGCGGUUUGGCAAGUCGGGUGUGAAAACUCCGGGCUCAACUCGGAGACGCCACUCGAUACUGCCAUGACUCGAGUCCGGUAGGGGAGUGCGGAAUUCCUGGUGUAGCGGUGAAAUGCGCAGAUAUCAGGAGGAACACCGGUGGCGAAGGCGGCACUCUGGGCCGGUACUGACGCUGAGGAGCGAAAGCGUGGGGAGCGAACAGG
rnacentral:rRNA from 1 species